rnacentral:lncRNA from 1 species
GACUCUGCUGCUUUUCCUGGGCAGGGCCUGCUUGCUCCAGCUCUCAAGUCUGACUUGCAUCUACACUGCGGGCAAGAUGUGGCUGCAAGACCGCAUCGCCACGUUCUUCUUCCCAAAAGGCAUGAUGCUCACCACGGCUGCGCUGAUGCUCUUCUUCUUACACCUGGGCAUCUUCAUCAGAGACGUGCACAACUUCUGCAUCACCUACCACUAUGACCACAUGAGCUUUCACUACACGGUCGUCCUGAUGGUAGGCUCAGGGCAGGGACGCAAGGGCUGGCUGUGGGAGACCCGAGGGGCUGAUGGAAACCCCACUGUUGUGCGAGGGGGCCACUCUCCCACUGGAUGGGCCUACAGUUCUCCCAGGUGAUCAGCAUCUGCUGGGCUGCCAUGGGGUCACUCUAUGCUGAGAUGACAGAAAACAAGUACGUCUGCUUCUCCGCCCUGACCAUCCUGAGUGAGUGGCAGGAGUGGGAGGGUGCAAGAGGGAGCGGGGAGCUUUGGAACCCUGAGAUGUGGCAAGGAGUAGCCAGGGAAGGGUACUGGGGCUCAUGGGGGGCUCUGUCCCCCGCCCAGUGCUCAACGGAGCCAUGUUCUUCAACCGCCUGUCCUUGGAGUUUCUGGCCAUCGAGUACCGGGAGGAGCACCACUGAGGCCUGGGGAGUCGGAACAGGGCUAAGGAGGGGGAAGCAAAAGGCUGCCUCGGGUGUUUUAAUAAAGUUGUUGUUUAUUUCCACCUGCCAGCUCCUUCAUGGGGCGAGGGGUCGGAGGCUGGAGACCCGGGAGGAAAGCAAGUCAAGACAAAUGCUUGACCCACGGGGACUCCAGGCCUGGCCUGCAGCCACUCUGGUGGACUUGGCUUUGGGUCUGGGGUCUUAGUGUCUUAGGCUUGAGGGAGAGGGGCAGUGAAGAGGUGCCCUCAGCCUCCCCAUUACCCCGCCUCUCCUCCACAGAACCCACAUCCUAGGCUGGCCUAGCCACAAGCAAGGGGGCUCAGGAGGGGCCCACGCGGAUGUGAGGGUUCAUGAGUGGGUCCAGGUUGGGAUCGCUGUCAGCUGCGGCCCGGCCUAGGCGAGACAUGAGGGCAAGGAGGGCCAGGAAGCCCAGCAGUCCCAAGAGUAGCAGCAGCCCCGCCCGCUGGAGCAGGGUCAGCGGCCGCUUCCGAGACCCAGCCCGGCUCCUGGGGGGAUGAGGGGAAAAUCAGGUCAGGCCCCAGUCCCUGGUGGCCCCCGCGGCUGGAGAGAAGCCCUGGUCACCACCCAUUCCUGAGCCUCCAUCUCCUCGUCUGUGCCUCAGGGAUGAUCACUCCUGCACCUGCCACCAUAGGGCGUUAUUGUGCAGCUCAAACCAGCUGAGGCGCACGACUGUAUUCUGGAAACCACAGUGUGUCAGACGUCGGGGAGAAUUACAAAGAUUAGGGGGUGUCAGAUCGGGAAGGGGCCUCAAAGAGCCUGAGUUCAAACCUCCUGUGUAGGAGGCAUAGAGACAGUCCCAGAGAGAAGCAAAACACAGCUUCUGCUGCACAGCCAAGGCCUCUCUGCACAGCCCCAGCACCAGGUACUGUUACUCCCCAGAACAAGCCCCUUUUGUCAUGAAACCAUCCCUUCCAGGACCUCUGGCUCCCAUUCCCUCUCCACCCCUUCCUGGCAUUCCGCCCUGCCUGACCCUGUGUACCUUAGCAGCCGGGCCAGCCAACCCAAGGCCGGCCGACGUCGGUACUUGUCAUCGUCACAGUCUCCAUGGAGGCCUGGUGUCCGGUCAUCAUCCCGCGUAUCAUACACCUUCCUAGGGGCUACAGGGUGGAGCCACUAGCAUCAAUAGACUCAGGAAAACUGGCCGCUUUGGGGAGGGCUAGGGGGAUCACCUGCUCUCCUCAGUCUGACAGAACAUCUCAGAAUUGUGAGGAGGUAAUGGCUGUGCCUGGAUUAAGGAAAGGUUCCUCCGGGUGGGUCUCUGGAUCCUCAAGCUCCCCCUAUACAAACCAUUCCACCCUCUUCCUAUCCUUCUGCGGCCUGGAUAACUCCCAGGCUCACCGUGAGUCAAGGGCUCAGGAUUGCCCAUGUGGAUCACUGUGUGCUGCUCGGGCCGGCCUGGGGAAGCUGGGGGCCGGGGGGCCUGGCUGUAGAAGGCUGGGGCAGCAGAGGCGCUGUCUACCUCCUCUGGUCCAGGGGUACUGCUGGCUGUGGGUGGAAAGAGAGCCGUCAGCAGAAGCAGUGCAUAGAGCUCAGGGGUAGAGCAUGUGACUGCAGACCAAGGGAGCUGUCAGCAGAGCAGGGAGGCUAAAGCCCAAACAGUCGGUGGAAGCCACCACUUACCAUUAAAACUAGACCAGUCAGAGAAGUCAGACGUGUUGAGGGGCUCGGGCUCUGGGCUCACCACCUCAUCGAUCUGGAGGAAGGAAUCUGGGUCACCAGGCUGCCUAGUAUUGUCCCCACCCACCCAUCUGACUCAGGUGGGGCCCAGGGCAGAUAGAUGGUCAGACAGACGAGGGACUCUCACCAGAGGGAGGCCCAGUCCUGCCCGGGCCCAGUUGACUGUGGCCAGCUUCUCUCUCAGUGCGGAGGCCACGGGGCCAGCCAGGUUGGUUGGGGGGAAGAUGGGGCCAUUGCAGCUGGGGCACUGAUAGCCGGCAGGUGCCGUGUUUCGGGGUAGCUGGGCAGCACGUUCAUUGAGGCAGGCCCAGUGAAAGAGAUCUUAGGGCCCAUGAGACAGGGGAGAAGAGACAUGAGGAAGAAGACACUUAGGGCUCCUAGCCUAGCAAUAGUCCCCAGACCAUUGCAGGACAUAUGGACACAUGUGUGUGUGCCAGAGCCUUCUCCUCCCCGUCCUGUUCCCUAAAAUGUCAGUCUUCUUGGCUACCACCAUCUAAGUCCAGGCAGGUGCUACCAAGCUGUCCAGCUCACAGGGGUAAGUUUGGGUAGGAAGAAAACGCCACCUCCCCUUUCAGUCCUUUCAAUGAGUCCUCUCUGGGCCUGCACUCAUCAUAUUCUUUGGGCUAAUGGCUAAUAAUGAACAGUUUCAGAAAAGGUUCCUCGAUACACACACAGGCACACAUAUACAUGUACACAUCCCUGGGCACAAAUGUACAUGUCCUUAUAAGCACAUAAUCAAACACAAGUGGCAUUCCCUAUAUCUACACUAUGGGUACAGGAGCCCUCACACAUACACAUCUAUACACUCACAGGUUUGCUAACAGGCACCCUCAACCAUGCAUUCUCUUGCACUCCCACAACACACCUGUGUUCAUAUGUUCACAUACAUACAUUUACCCAUUCAUUCACCCCAAGUACAGAUCAACACACUAACACUCAUUUAAACACACAAUGUACAUUAAGUGCCUGCAAGUACACACAUGCACUCACAAGGAGAAACACAUAUGGAGCUGACUCUUGCAUGAGCUCCUUCAAAAACUGGAGCUAAGGCUCUUACCCCAGAUUCAGGUCAAAGUCAUGACACAUAUGUCUGCUGACUUCUUUUAGCUAACUUUAAUGUGGGAAACUCACUUCCUCUCUGUUUAGCCUUGGAAUCAGUGGUGGAUCCUGAAUAUCUGAAAGCAACAUGCCGGUCUGGCUAGCUAAUAGUCACGGCCACCAGCAUACCCGUAAGCUUGACUGGUUCUCGCUGAAACCUCCAGAUUGGCAGGGCUUAAUUUUUAGGAAAGAGGAACUAGGAGCUUUAAUUUUUAGGAAAGACAGUGAGGCCUAGAAAGGAAGAAUAACUUGCCUGAACUUACACAGCAGGUAAGGAACUUUAACAGGACUAGAAUCUGGGCUCUGAGACUCGGGGGACUCACUGUCCUGCUGCUUGAGGAGGGCCUGGAAACCAGUCACCAAGCUGGCCCCUGAGGCUGGCCUGAUCCCCCCGAGGUGCCAAGGCCUCACCAUAGCAGACAAGGCGGGUCGUCUCUCGGCUGGCCAGGGGUAUGUUGCACAGGCGGCAAUUGGGGUUGUAGUCGCUAUCUUGGAGCCAUUGCAGGUAGGACUGGACGAUGCACUGGAGUGGGAGAGAGAUGUCACAACUGGUGCUGGGGCUGCUCGGCCUAUCACCCCAAGGUCCGACUGUCUCUUUUUCUCUAGCCACAGAGGAGACUCAUCCUUUCGUUUGUUUAAUCAAUAAAUAUUUAUUGAGC